GACGAACGCUGGCGGCGUGCCUAAUACAUGCAAGUAGAACGCUGAAGGAGGAGCUUGCUUCUCUGGAUGAGUUGCGAACGGGUGAGUAACGCGUAGGUAACCUGCCUGGUAGCGGGGGAUAACUAUCGGAAACGAUAGCUAAUACCGCAUAAGAGUAGAUGUUGCAUGACAUUUGCUUAAAAGGUGCAAUUGCAUCACUACCAGAUGGACCUGCGUUGUAUUAGCUAGUUGGUGGGGUAACGGCUUACCAAGGCGACGAUACAUAGCCGACCUGAGAGGGUGAUCGGCCACACUGGGACUGAGACACGGCCCAGACUCCUACGGGAGGCAGCAGUAGGGAAUCUUCGGCAAUGGACGGAAGUCUGACCGAGCAACGCCGCGUGAGUGAAGAAGGGUGUCGGAUCGUAAAGCUCUGUUGUAAGAGAAGAACGAGUGUGAGAGUGGAAAGUUCACACUGUGACGGUAUCUUACCAGAAAGGGACGGCUAACUACGUG
rnacentral:rRNA from 1 species